CCCAAAUCAUUUUCCAACACAUGGUCACCAGAAAGGUGAAGAAGAAACUGGUAUGACUGAGGUUUUACCUUCUACAAGUGGCACAGAACAAGGAAAACGAAAAUCUGGCCAACAGUUGGGCAACAAAGGACAACCAUCAGCAAAAAGGAAGUGUGAGACAAAUUCGUCAACAGAAAGAGAAGCAAAGAUAUUAAGUGAAGUGAGAAACAUUAUGGGGGACAUCUCUGCCAAGUUACAAGAUGACAGUGAUCUCAAUAAGUUCUUGAA